CAGGGGGUUUGGUUUCGUUAAUUUCGUGAGCAGAGAAGACGCUCAGCGAGCUAUUAACAAACUGAAUGGUUAUGGUUAUGAUAAUCUCAUCCUCAGGGUUGAGUGGGCCACUCCAAGACCCACCUAGAAAUGUUUUGAGCCCUUCAUAUUUUUGGUCUUUGGAUUAUUGUUUAUCGACCGGUUUGCAUGUUUGCUUAGCUUGGAGAUGUUAUAUUCAUCUUUAAUGCAUGAUGCAUGUUUUGAUUAUUCAAAAGUUUUUGAAUGUUUUGAUCAAUUCUAAUAGGUAUGCAAUAAAAAAUAACAAAGAUGUUCUUGUCCACAUACAAGUGUAACUUGUGUUACUAGAAAUGAAUAAAUAUACAAAAUAAAUAUGCAACCCCCAAAAAAAUGAUUGCCACACUAAACUCGUUGUUAAUAUUUUUAAUGGAACACUUUCAAAAAAUAUGACAAUAUUGUUUUAAUGCCUAGUUGCAUCCUGCACUAACAUAUGAUGAUGUUCAAAAAAGUUUGGAGCCUUUGUCGUCUCUGUUUAUCAAGAAAAUAAUAACUUUAUAGUGGUUAUUCCAUCGAUUUAGGGAGUAUUAUGAAGUUUUACUAAAUUAAUUGAUAAAAACAAUUGAACGAUGCUCAUUUACCAUGAAAAAGAGUUUAGCAUACAUUAAUACAAAUGUAGAAUAUGGUAGAAAUUUUAAAACAACACUAAAGAUUAUAGGCUUCAGUAUAUAAAGUAUUUACCAAAAACUCAAUAUUUUUGUAGGGGUUAGCCCAUAGAUUUUGAGAAAAUUUCAAAAAAUAUGAAUUGGAACAUAAAACUCUAAUUUUUUGUAACAUUUGAUCGUGUUCUGUUUUUUUUGUCUGGUCAUUGUCUGAAUAUGUUCGAGCUUAGUUUAGGACCGAAUAUAAUUCAUUUGUCUGAUACUAUAUGAAUCAUGAAGCUUUUACUCUAGCUACUGGUAAAUUAUUGCUAUUUGCUGAUGAUUUGGGUCAUAAAACUCUAAUCACUUUAGAUUUUUGAACAUUUGAUCGUGUUCUGUUUUUUUGUCUGGUCAUUGUCUGAAUAUGUUCUAGCUUACUUUAGGACCGAAUCUAAUUCACUGUCUAAUACUAUAUGAAUCAUGAAGCUUUUACUCUAGAUUUUUGUAACAUUUUGAUCAUGUUCUGUCUCUUGUCUGGUCAUUGUCUGAAUCCGUUCUAGCUUUAGGACAGAAUCGAAUUCAUUGUCUGAUAUUAUAUGAAUCGUGAAGAUUUUAAUUUUUAGGUUUUUAGUUUAUUAAAAGCUUCACGCUUUUGUUCUGUGAAGUUUCCCCUGUUUUUGUUCUUAGCUUGAUGUAUAAGUUAGGUUAUCCUUUUGAAUGUUAGUUAGGGUAUCUUGAUAAACCUCCUCCAUAUGCGAAUGAUUGUACUUAUAAAGCCCAUCGAAUGUGAUGACGACUGUAUUUUUCUUGAAAUGUUUUGGACUUUACUUUGGUGCUACCAUUAGGAUUUAACGGGUAUUUAAAUAUUUUUAGGUACCAAAGCUGAUGAAUCAAAGGCAGCUGGAGACAGCUUAUCUCAGCUGAGUAAAGGCGGUGCAGUCCUCAUGGUUUGCAGGACAUGCCAUAAGAAAGGUGAUCACUGGACAUCAAAAUGUCCUUACAAGGAUCUAGCUGCACCAGCCGAUGUCUUUACCGACAAGCCACCCACAGGGGAAACAUCUACCGUAUCCGCCGCACCUGGAACUGGCAAGGCGGCUUAUGUCCCGCCCAGCAUGAGAGCUGGUGCGGACAGAAGCGCUGGUGGCUCGGACAUGAGGAGGAGGAACGAUGAGAACUCUGUGCGUGUGACUAACUUGUCUGAAGACACGCGUGAACCGGACUUGAUGGAGCUCUUCCACCCGUUUGGAGCUGUCACGCGUGUCUACGUGGCGAUUGAUCAGAAGACCGGAGUGAGCAGGGGGUUUGGUUUCGUUAAUUUCGUGAGCAGAGAAGACGCUCAGCGAGCUAUUAACAAACUGAAUGGUUAUGGUUAUGAUAAUCUCAUCCUCAGGGUUGAGUGGGCCACUCCAAGACCCACCUAGAAAUGUUUUGAGCCCUUCAUAUUUUUGGUCUUUGGAUUAUUGUUUAUCGACCGGUUUGCAUGUUUGCUUAGCUUGGAGAUGUUAUAUUCAUCUUUAAUGCAUGAUGCAUGUUUUGAUU
rnacentral:lncRNA from 1 species